CGGACGGGUGAGUAACGCGUGGAGAACCUGCCGUAUACUGGGGGAUAACACUUAGAAAUAGGUGCUAAUACCGCAUAAGCGCACAGCUUCGCAUGAAGCAGUGUGAAAAACUCCGGUGGUAUACGAUGGAUCCGCGUCUGAUUAGCUAGUUGGCGGGGUAAAGGCCCACCAAGGCGACGAUCAGUAGCCGGCCUGAGAGGGUGAACGGCCACAUUGGGACUGAGACACGGCCCAAACUCCUACGGAAGGCAGCAG
rnacentral:rRNA from 1 species